rnacentral:rRNA from 1 species
UACGGAGGAUCCGAGCGUUAUCCGGAUUUAUUGGGUUUAAAGGGUGCGCAGGCGGGAGAUUAAGUCGGCGGUGAAAUUUUGCAGCUCAACUGUAAAAGUGCCUUCGAAACUGGUUUUCUUGAGUGUGGAUGAAGUAGGCGGAAUUUGUGGUGUAGCGGUGAAAUGCAUAGAUAUCACGAGGAACUCCGAUUGCGCAGGCAGCUUACUAAGCUACAACUGACGCUCAUGCACGAAGGCGUGGGGAUCAAACAGGAUUAGAUACCCCCGUA